GAUGAACGCUGGCGGCGUGCCUAAUACAUGCAAGUCGAGCGAACAGACGAGGAGCUUGCUCCUCUGACGUUAGCGGCGGACGGGUGAGUAACACGUGGAUAACCUACCUAUAAGACUGGGAUAACUUCGGGAAACCGGAGCUAAUACCGGAUAAUAUAUUGAACCGCAUGGUUCAAUAGUGAAAGACGGUUUUGCUGUCACUUAUAGAUGGAUCCGCGCCGCAUUAGCUAGUUGGUAAGGUAACGGCUUACCAAGGCAACGAUGCGUAGCCGACCUGAGAGGGUGAUCGGCCACACUGGAACUGAGACACGGUCCAGACUCCUACGGGAGGCAGCAGUAGGGAAUCUGACGCAAUGGGCGAAAGCAUGACGGAGCAACGCCGCGUGAGUGAUGAAGGUCUUCGGAUCGUAAAAUUCUGUUAUUAGGGAAGAACAAAUGUGUAAGUAACUAUGCACGUCUUGACGGUACCUAAUCAGAAAGCCACGGCUAACUACGUG
rnacentral:rRNA from 1 species